rnacentral:tRNA from 1 species
UAGCUCAGUCAGCUGAGCAUGGCGCUAACAACACCAAGGUCGUGGGUUCAAUUCCCAU